AGUAUUGCUUAGUGUGAAGAUUUAUAAGGACUGUCACUUGAACAUUCAACACCCGCAUAACCACACGAGCGACGGAUUAGUCUUCACUCAGAGUACAAUAUCUCUCCCUCUUUAUCUUUAUCCACCAACCAGCUUGGCGAACGCUGACAAGUCGACAUGGCAUGGAUGUCACUAACGCCCCCGUUUGCUGGCGUCCGUCUGCCGAGGGCAAUCGCUCCCUUGCCGUAAUUGUUCGGGCAAUGGUGAUAUAACGUGUAUGAUCUUGGGGGAAGUCACAGCCCACGAGAUCUGGCGAUUUGGGUAGAUGUGGCACAGCGUUAUCCCAGGGUGUUGCCAAACCACGCCAUUACGACUAUGUUCACGACAAAAGGGGUUCGCAUCCCUUACGGCAGUUAUGCUACGUGUGCGCAUGUUGACGCUCACCUGCGGAGGGAUAAGCGACGCUGGGCAUGGCGGUCAGGGUGGAAAGAUCAAGAUUACGAAGCAUUUUUACAACCAUAAGAAGAGGCCUGUGGAGUGUCAUGAGAAACUCGUAUAGCAGAAGAGUCCAGGUGAACGUUUGCCUUCAUACUAAUUGAACCCAGUGCUGUGCUGCUAAAACCGAAAAAAAAUUUGAUUAAAAUAAGACAAAAGGCUACGCUCUCUGUGGAAUUAGGUGUUAUUCAGUGUGAAGUGAAGAUUAUA